rnacentral:rRNA from 1 species
CNUUGUAGGCUUUGGAAACUGUUUAACUUGAGUGCAGAAGGGGAGAGUGGAAUUCCAUGUGUAGCGGUGAAAUGCGUAGAUAUAUGGAGGAACACCGGUGGCGAAAGCGGCUCUCUGGUCUGUAACUGACGCUGAGGCUCGAAAGCGUGGGGAGCGAACAGGAUUAGAUACCCUGGUAGUCCACGCCGUAAACGAUGAGUGCUAGGUGUUAGGUCCUUUCCGGGACUUAGUGCCGCAGCUAACGCAUUAAGCACUCCGCCUGGGGAGUACGACCGCAAGGUUGAAACUCAAAGGAAUUGACGGGGGCCCGCACAAGCGGUGGAGCAUGUGGUUUAAUUCGAAGCAACGCGAAGAACCUUACCAGGUCUUGACAUCCCGAUGCCCGCUCUAGAGAUAGAGCUUUACUUCGGUACAUCGGUGACAGGUGGUGCAUGGUUGUCGUCAGCUCGUGUCGUGAGAUGUUGGGUUNNNNNNCGCAACGAGCGCAACCCUUAUUGUUAGUUGCCAUCAUUCAGUUGGGCACUCUAGCGAGACUGCCGGUAAUAAACCGGAGGAAGGUGGGGAUGACGUCAAAUCAUCAUGCCCCUUAUGACCUGGGCUACACACGUGCUACAAUGGCUGGUACAACGAGUCGCAAGCCGGUGACGGCAAGCUAAUCUCUGAAAGCCAGUCUCAGUUCGGAUUGUAGGCUGCAACUCGCCUACAUGAAGUCGGAAUCGCUAGUAAUCGCGGAUCAGCACGCCGCGGUGAAUACGUUCCCGGGCCUNGU